UUGUUUUAAUUCAAGAUCGUCCUUGACUGAAGGACAGCAGAUGGCCAUGGCGUGGUCUCAAUGAAAGCAGCAAAAUCACCCACAGUGACAUUUUCAAAGGGAAAAUCGGAAGCAAGACUCAACAGGUCACCAUGAGCUGGUGGGAAACAGUCACCACUGUUGUCACUCGGCGCUGAUGGCAGCUACCUUUGCUUGGAUGGAAGUGCUGUUCCUGACACAUGUUAAAUGUGGCACUAAAGGUUGGCUGGCUGCUCCAGAGGCCAGGUCUGGCUCUGCUGGGACACAGUGAUUCUGCUUACCAACUGAGCCAGAAAUGUGUUGAGGAAUUAACUGGUUAUGGAGUAAUUCUGGAAGAUCUUAUCAGCAAGUGAUUCUGAAGUCAUCUGGACAAUGUGUGAACUCCCACACUUGAUCUGGCAGCCUUGCGGCACUGCAGCUGGGGCAGUGGCAAAAUCCAAGACACUGCUCGCAGAACUGAUGGUCCCCCCUGACUGCGUGAAGAAGCUUGUCCUGUUCAAAAACUGACAUCUAGAAAAAGCCACCUUGAAGUAAUUUCUCAUGUGGAGCAACCAGAAUGUCCUUGGAGACAGUUGGAGUCUUUCAUGAGGAAAAGUUUGCUCUGGAGAGGAGAAAGCAAGAUGGCGACCCUCUACCAUCUGCUGGAUCUUCAAGAAGAAGCCUCCUCUUAAUUGAUCGUAUCAGUUAUGGCGUGUGUAUCACCUUCCUGCUUGUCAGAACUUCCGAGAACACCUGGGGCAUAUCACCUAGACUGCAGGGGAAAGUCUGGGGAAGCCCUGUCCUCUGGUGCCUUUCUCUGAGUACAGGGACGUGCUUAGGAAGCUUCCUGAAGAAGCAACACUGAGCAGACCUCUGAGUGCAGCCGGACAGCGUCUGAGGAGCCUUCCAAAGAGAGGAUCUCUCUGUGUAGAAAAACCUCUACAGGAGUAGAAAUAAAAGCGAUCCAGGAGGCUGUCAUAAGAUUGUAGGGAAACAGAACACACUGGAUGCUGGAAAGUGGAUGCUGGGGCUGAAAGAGGCCUGAAAUAGACAAUUCUGGAAAAAGCAAAGACGUUCCUUCCUGAGCUCCAUUCCUGGUGCAGGGGGACCCUGGAGGCCUUGCUGCUGGGUCUGUGCAGUGACAGACGUCAUUCCAAGCCUGUUUUGUCAGGCACUGGUAUUGACACCCAUAAGGACAUGUCCAGCUAAGAAGCAUGAGUCCUGCCUUCUCUCACGGUCGUGCGCUGACUUGUUAGCAUUGAGGCACUUGAAUUCCCGAUGCUGCAGCCGCACCUCGCAGCCAGAUGGCACUCACAGGGAAACACGGCCCUGGAACACUUCAUGAAGCUGAGAGGGAGGAAAAGAGGAUUUAUUGGAAGUCAUAGUUUCCUUCCACAAACCCCAAAGCACAGGGGUCAUCAAAUGCUGCCUAGCCUCUAACUCCCUGAGGGCCCAUGAUACGCCAUCGGUUUUCCUGGGGGGAAUUAGGAGUCUUGCACAACUGGCCCGGCUAGUUCACGCUCAUGGUGUUCCUGUGACAGAAUGCAGGCCUCGAGCCAAGAUCAGGCCCCCUACACUCUGGCCCCAUCCCUUGGUAGAGUGCAAAGAUCCAGAUGAGGUGUGUGUCUUCAGCCCUCCGAUGUCCUCACUGUGUGACAUGCGGUCCUGCUAAGUGCUGGCUGUGCAUUGUACUAGCAUUUUAUAGGGAAAACAUAUUGGCUCCUCUUCUAUGUCAGGCCCAGUGGAGAUGGGAGUCCAACGCUUUACACCUCCAUUCACCCGAGUAGCUUGAUGUCUACUUCCCAGCAGUUUCAAAAUCAUAAAGGGGCCAGCAGGACCCAUGGGACCUGACACUUGGACUUGAGAGCUUUCCUCCAAGAGAAGGAGGAAUGGAUGGAAGAUAUCAGGCACAUUGAGGAACAGAAGUUUGGCCAGUGGCGAUGAGAGCCGAGUGGUCAGAUGUCCAACUGCUGAUUCCCUAAUCGCUCAACUUGUUUUCCUGUCAGUUGCAGCCAUAACAAAACUCUUAGCUAACACACGGCAGGAGGCGGAGUAUGGGAGCCCUGUCACAGGCUCCGAGAGGCCUUCUGCUGACAUCUGCUCAGGGGUCGGCUCAGCAAUGAAAUUUAGGCAGCAGUGGGGCUGCCGUCCUGGGAGGUGAGAAACGAACAGUCACCUAAGGUCAGGGGCGGAGCAGUGGAACCCCCAGCUGAGUGCUGGCCAGGGGUCUCCUCCGUGAGAAGGCCCUGUUUGGAGGCCGUGUCUGAAGCUAUUGCUAAAGCAGGAAAGGUGCUCUGAACCUUCCAUCUAUCCAACAAGGCAAGCCACAUCGGUGCAUGUGGAACCUGGGACUGUGGGAGUUGGAAUGUUGACGGGGGUCAGUAGUGUGUGGUCAUUGUCAUGCAGAAUUCCAGGUGUGGAAGUCAUGGGGUCAGUUAGGGCCUGGUUUUGGGGGGGUGAAUUUCCUUUUCUGAAGUGGAGGAGGGGGUGGGUGAAAUUCAGCCUUGACCCUUUCAUGGAUCCAGAUGGCUUUGACGAUUGAGGGUGCCCAGCCUGACAACCCUGGAGGCCAGAGGAGUGGAGGGGGUGAGAAGUGUUCCCGUCUCAGAAAGUGAGACCCUGAGGAGCCUCUGGGGGUGGCCCAGGGUCUCCCUAGCUGGAGACCCAAGUAGGAGCUGAGAUCUUUGGAGGAACGGAGGAGGCAGAGGGGUCACAAAGAUGCCAGCAGGCUAAGCCAGAUGAGUGGGGCUGCCGGACAAAGGGCCAGCUCUCUUUGUCCUGCUGAAAAGCUUUAGUUUCUUCAUCUUAAAGCGAUUUUAAAAAGAUGAGAUCAAAUAAUUCAGUUUCCAUCAUUAUGUGAUUUUUAAGUGAAGUCAUUUCCGAACUCUGUGCAGUAGAUGAGGUGAUUUCUUCUAUGGAAAAUGAAAAUAGUUGGUAAUGUUAUUCAGCUUAUUCCUUGAAUAGGCUCUUACAAAUUUCUCCCAACUCUUUUUCAGUUUUCUCAGAAACUUGGCACAUCCAUUUUCUUUUUUUUUUAACCAAAUUUUGUAUUAUAACAAUUUUCAUCAUUUCAUCUAAAAUUAUGUCUAAAGACAAAAAGAUUUGAAGAAAUACUCGGGCUAGGGUUGUGGCUCAGUGGUAGAGCGCUUGCCUAGCAUGUGUGAGGCACUAGGUUCAAUCCUCAGCACCACACAAAAAAUAAGUAAAUAAAUAAGAUAAAAGUACUGUGUCCAUCUACAACUAAAAAAACCCCACAAACAAACAAACAAAAAACCGAAAAAGGAAAUACUAUAUAUAGGCACACUGUCCAUGAUUUCCUCCAGAAAAGAGCAAGAUGACUGUGUCUUAACUUUUCUAUAUUUUAAAAAUUGUCUUCAUAUUAAUAAUCAGAGACAACUAACGAAUGCUAUUUAAAUAAGUGCUGUUCCUCCAACACCCGUUUCAGAGGCCCCAAGCUUACACACAUCUCCACUGUCAAACGUUCCGUCUUCCAAGUAGCACUUCCCAGUGCAUCAUAUGCAGGUAUGGGUGUCUGUGUGGCACCAGAGAUAUGUCCUUCCAGAAUCAUCCAGCACAGUGCCUCAUUCACACUGUGUUAAAACACCAAGGACCAAAGGGAAAUAAAUCAGUUUUACAUUUCUAUUUCUUACUUAUUUAUAAAGAUAAAAGCAGCUAAGAAUAUAUGUAUAUUAUGAAAACAUUUAAUUUUUAUGUUUACUUUUGGUGUAGUGACCUUAUAGAGUCUUAAAAGUAUUUUUUUCCAGUGAUUCUGAGUCCAUUUUAAUAGAAAAUAGAGAGGAACAGUUUAGGCCAAGUGCUUUAAUUUUUCCUGUGGUGGUGUUUGUCAGCCCAGGGUCCUGUCUCUGGGCUCUGAGGUUCUAAGUGCAUCUUAGGACUGAUUUCUCCCAUGCUGGGUAUACUUGACAACUUCAGAAGCUGCACCAAUGUCUUCAUGUGGGGAACAUGUUGCAUGGAGCCAGUAAAAGUGGUCCUUUCCCAGAUAACAAGAAGAUGGCUGGCUGUUCUGCAGGGGACCAUCAGUUAUUCUAACCCAUGUGGAAUUUUAUGCCUGUAACAGCUAUUUAAAUAUCAUUUUAUAAUUUGAGUUAAAAAAUUAAAUGUCCACAGGAAGAAAUAUCUUCAAUAUAUUAGAAUGGUAGUAUAGUAUAGGCAAAAUGUAUAUUAACAUGCAAUGUUAAUAUUUAGUCAAUUUUCUCAUUUUACAUUUAAUUAAGUUUGAGUUCUGAGUAAAUGGGAGAAAUGACAAAAAUUAGUGUAUGAUAUAAAAUUGAGUGAAUUUAGGGAACACUUCAUAAAAUUUUCCUUUUGUAAAUUUCUGAAAAACAAUUUAAUUUCGUGGCUACUGCAUUUGGAGUGCUGUCGAAGGCACUUUUUCCUUCCCCAAUAUAAUAAUACUCUGCUCAUUUUUCCUUUGGAAACCUUGUUGUUUUAGUUUUAUGUCUGAGUCUGUGAUUUUUCUCAAAUUAAUUUUUUAUGUGGUGUAAGGGGAAUCAAGAUUUAUUUUUUUUGAUUUCUAAUUAGAAGAUUCCUACUUAUUGAAAAGAUUGUCCUUUCCCCAAUCAACUGCAGAGGAGCCCAUGUGUAAAGUGUGUGUGUGUGUGUGUGUGUGUGUGUCUGUGUGUGUGUGAGAUGGUUUGUGCCAACUAGUCCUCUCUACUGGCCUGCUUAUCGGCUCUUGGCUUGUGUCACACUGUAUUCAGGUUGCAGUUAUAUGUUCUCCAGCUUCAUUUUUGUUAGCAUUGGCUUGAUCUUCUGAUUCCUUCAAAUUAGAAGAAAAUUUUGAAUUUUAAAACAAACCUGCCAAUUUCUACUAAAUGAAUCUUAUGGGAUUUUGAUUGGGAUUACAUUGAAUAUUUGGACUCAGAGACCUGAAGAUCUUUUCUGUGCUUUAAUUACCUGCUCUGGACUAUAAUUAUUUGCUUAUCAUAUAUAAUAUGUUAUAUGUCUGACCCAGCUGAUCAUAUAUGUGCAUUAUUGUACAUUAACCUGUCCAUCUGCUUUAUAUGUUUUUAAAAAUAAUUUCCAGUUUAACUGAGGUAAAGUUGACAAAUAAAAAUUGUAUAUAUUUAAGGUGUACAAGGUGAUGUUUUGAUAUAAGUAUAGAUUGCAGAAUGAUUGCCACAAUAAAUCUAAUGAACAUA